ACAACAUAUAACCUUUUUUUGUUUAUCUUUCCCCCACAUUUCACAAACCCUCCUCCGCCGAAUCGCAAAUCCUCCGCCGAAUCGCAUAUAUGGAACCACAAACCCCUCCGUCAAAUCCCUAAUCGAAGAACCUCAAACCCCUUCGUUGUUCUCCUUCGUUCAAUCCAUCAAUAUCUCUGUCGUUCUUCUUCAAUUCCUCCGCCGUUCUCCUUUAAUCCCCCGCCUUUCUCCGUCGUUCUCCGUGGUUCCAAGGUAUCGAGUAACUCCAUCUCUCUGUUGUUUAUCUUUAGCUUGUUGUUUUGUUGUUAUGUAUCGAGUCAAUUCUUCUCUCUGUGAAUCAAAGAAGCCCCUUUGUGAGUUGUUUUAUGGUAUCAAGUUAUGCUUUGUUUUUUGUUUCUUUUACUGCAUUUUUUUUUAUUUCCCCUUAGAAGCCCCUUUCACUACAAGAAAAAUUGAAGGCAGCGACAGUCCAUUUGAGGCACUAGGAAGUCAACCGCCACCGCUCAGCUCAACAACGACGUUUACUGCGGCAUUCAUUCAACCGCCGUUGGUGUGUGUCAAUCUCGGCAGUUCUAGUGGUAAAGCGGCGGCAGUCUAAUUGGGUACAGCGGCGGCUAGAUUAGGAAUGUGAAAUGAAAAUUUCACUCCCCUCUCUCUUAUUCUCUGGCACGAAAAUUUCACAUCGCACGACCCCUUGUUUUCAAAAUAGAAUGGUUUUCAAGCUUCAGCACUUCCUUCUCUGCUUGCUCGACCCCUUUGUUUUCAAUUUCAGGUGGUUGUUUUCAAUUUCAGGUGAUGAAACUUGCUCAACCUCUUGUUUUCAAUUGUUUUCAAUUUCAGGUGAUGAAAUUUUUAUAUGAAUUGAGACGAAUUUCUAUGUUUUAGGUUUUUGGAAAAUUUUGAUUUGUUUCUUUGAUUGAUUGAAUAAAUAUAGACAAUAGGGCUGAAAGUCAACAAUUUCAUGUUAAAGUUUGGUUUUUUAUGAUGCUUGAUCUUUUAAUUCUUCAUAAAGAGUAUGAAAAUGAGUAUUUUUAAUUUGGGGGUUAUUUAGUUUUGAUUCAAAUUGGAACUAUGUGAUGUUCUUUAUUGUUUGUUAUUUAGUUUUGAUUCAUAGGUAUACAACACUCUAGCAGAUAGUUGUGGAAUACCUCAUCUAGCAAAGAAGUUAAACCAGAUUCUAGCAAAACAUAUCAAAGAUUUGCUACCUGGGCUGAGAGCGGAUAUACACACUAACCUAGUUACUCUUUCAAAGGAGCAUCAAAGCUAUGGAGUAAUCUCAGAGUCCAAGGCAUGUGUUACUACUAGAAUCUGUUUUGCAUAUGUCUCUAUGACUUGUUAACUAAUUAUUAGUUAAAGUUACUGAUAGUCAUUCUCCUUAUCUGAUUAAAUAUCAAAUUUUAUGCUUCUGCUGGAUUUUUUGCCUCAAUUUAUCUAUAACUUCUAAUUGUUAAUCCUCAAUAGGUUGGUCAGGGUGCUCUUCUCCUGGAUAUUCUUUCAAAAUAUUGUGAAGGAAGUUCAUCACUCUUAUAAGAAAGGGAUGUCAUACACGCCAAUGAAAGUUACGUGCUUUGUUUGUGCUGGAGGUUCAGGUAUGAGCUUCAAAUUAAUCUUAAUUCGGUAUGUCAUGUUCGAUGAUGAUGCUAUUUUGUGCCCCCGCCGUUUUGGUUUCGAAAGUUUAAAGAUGUUGGUUUGAUUGAGUUUAUAAGAUGGUGAAUAAACAUUUUGGAGGUUCAAAUGUGGCCAACUAGUUUCUCUGCAGGAAAAUUGAGAAAACCAAUUCUGUUUUAAUUAAUAAUGCAUUUUUCUAUGAUGAUUUCUAAAAACUUGUAAACAGGAAUAUUUUCAUAUGUAUGCUAGGAUGAUCCCUAUUAAGGUUUGUUCAUGUGUUGGUUGAUUGGUGUUUGAGAUAAUAUGGUUGCUAGCUCUCUUAUAUUCCUGUGACUGAUACUUUGUUUGCCUUGUUUCAAAUUGAUGAUAGCAGCUAGAACUCAUUUAGGAUAUACAAUUAUUACUAAUUAGUCUAUAAGAUGUAGAGUUCGAACCUUUGAUUAUUUAGCUAAGUGGUGCUUAGGCAUAAUUGAAAAUAGAUGAUAGAUAUUGAAGCUUGUCAUCAUAUAUUGGCUUCAAGAAGUUGGUCCUUGAGGUGCUUAUAUAUGUUCUCUCAUGGUAUGAAAGGUAGUAUAUAAACCUUUGAUCAUAUAUUGGCUUCAUGAAUCAUCGUUUAUGCCUUUGUAAGAAGAAUUGAUUGUGUUUUGUUGCAUUAUUAUUUAUUUAACUGAUGGGCGAUUGUGAAUUAUAGCUGCUGAUGUGUUCUUAUGGAAGUGUAGGAACCGUGGUUUGGGUUUUUUGAGCUGCUUGAAUAUCACUUUCUUACUCAUGCGUGUCAUUUCAAUUCUGGUUAUUGUCCUAUUGGUUUUGUGGUCCAAUGCUCAUACCUUUCUUCAUAGGGACCUUUGAAAGGUUAAAGAUGUGAGAACUUGUAGCCAAAGUUAGGGUAAAAAUUGAAUUGUGGAAAAUGGUGGUGAUUGAAGAAAGUGGAAUGGAUGUGAAGUAAAUCAGUGGAAUGAAUGUGAAAUAAAGUUUCCAACAUGCUACUAGAUGGCAGAUCAGGUAACCGAAUAAGAAGAGUCAAGCGAUGAUAGGCGUUUCUGAGUCUAGUUAACACUAAUUAAGGAUUAUGAAGCAACAUCACAUACUAGGGAUAUUUAGAUAUUUUUUGAACUUAUUUUGACGUAAUGUUAUAUUUAACCACUCUACUAACAUUUAUGUUAUAGUUUUUGAAUGUUUGAACUACAUUAGUUUCUUUCCUUUGGAACUUCAUGUACUUGAAUUAAAUUUUUGAUUUAUAUGGAUCUUGUCACUAUUGAAUGAAUUAUAUAAAUGAGAUUAAGUUAUUUAUAUUUAUAUAUUUGUGCGUUUUAA